rnacentral:rRNA from 1 species
AGUGAACGCUGGCGGUAGGCCUAACACAUGCAAGUCGAACGGCAGCACAGGAGAGCUUGCUCUCUGGGUGGCGAGUGGCGGACGGGUGAGGAAUACAUCGGAAUCUGCCCAGUCGUGGGGGAUAACGUAGGGAAACUUACGCUAAUACCGCAUACGACCUUCGGGUGAAAGAGGGGGAUCGCAAGACCUCUCGCGAUUGGAUGAGCCGAUGUCGGAUUAGCUAGUUGGCGGGGUAGUGGCCCACCAAGGCGACGAUCCGUAGCUGGUCUGAGAGGAUGAUCAGCCACACUGGAACUGAGACACGGUCCAGACUCCUACGGGAGGCAGCAGUGGGGAAUAUUGGACAAUGGGCGCAAGCCUGAUCCAGCCAUACCGCGUGGGUGAAGAAGGCCUUCGGGUUGUAAAGCCCUUUUGUUGGGAAAGAAAUCUUUCAGGCUAAUACCCUGGGAGGAUGACGGUACCCAAAGAAUAAGCACCGGCUAACUUCGUG